AUGGCUUUAUAUGCCAUGUUACAAAAUGAAACUUAGACAAGAAUAAGAUUUUUAGUUUUUCUUUCUCUUCUUGUUAAUGAAGGUCUUGAGAACCAUAUCACUAACAUUUUCCUCAAAUCUUGUUUCUUCACUGCCCUCCUUACUUCUUUGAGAUAACCUUUCAGAGGAUCCAUCAUUUUCAGAGUUCGUAUGAUCUUGGUUGUUGCUUUUCUG
rnacentral:lncRNA from 1 species